GGAAGCUGUGAGAGACAAUAUUUAUUUCUGCGGCAAGUUACUAAGCCUUGUGGGAGUUUGAGGCAGCAAUAGGCAACUAAUAACUUGGGUUUUUGUAAGCACAGGUGCUUCUGAUAUUACUGGAUCCCAAUAUUAUGUAGAAUGUCACAUCAAGUUCACCAGUCCCAACAUCCUGCCUCAGGUAUGCCAAGGAAGAUACUUGACCCAAACCAACUGACUCAGGAAAGACUUCCUGAAGAAAAGAAUAAGUGGAAUCUGAAUAUGAAAUAGAUUGUGAUGACGAAAUGAAGCAAGGAGGUUGUGGCAAUCUUUAUAUCUUCUACCUCAGUGAAACAGUAGAAACCGAGCUCUUGGGUUCAGAAAAAUUGAAGAAUGAAGUCAUGAACCAAAGAAGGGAGUAAAAAGAUUUUUUUUUUUAAU